GGUCAAGUUAUUAAGGGUGCAGGGCGGAUGCCUUGGCACUAGGAGCCGAUGAAGGACGUGAUAAGCUGCGAUAAGCUUCGGGGAGUUGCACGUAAACUUUGAUCCGAAGAUUUCCGAAUGAGGAAACUCACUUAGAGUAAUGUCUAAGUAUCAUUAAGUGAAUACAUAGCUUAAUGAGGGGAACUCAGGGAACUGAAACAUCUAAGUACCUGAAGGAAGAGAAAGAAAUUCGAUUCCGUAAGUAGCGGCGAGCGAACGCGGAUUAGCCCAAACCAAUAAAGUUUUCUUUGUUGGGGUUGCGGACAUAUCAUAACGAAGAGGUAUCGUAAUUGAAGAGGUUUGGAAAGACCCACCACAGAAGGUAAUAGUCCUGUAUGUUAAACGAGAAGACUUCAGAUAUGAUCCAGAGUACCACGGGACACGUGAAACCCUGUGGGAAGCAGGAGGGACCACCCUCCAAGGCUAAAUACUACCUAGUGACCGAUAGCGUAUAGUACCGUGAGGGAAAGGUGAAAAGAACCCCGGGAGGGGAGUGAAAUAGAACCUGAAACCCUGCACUUACAAGCUGUGGAAGCACAUUUCUUGUGUGACCGCGUACUUUUUGUAGAACGGGCCAACGAGUUACGUUAAGUAGCAAGGUUAAGCACUUAAGGUGCGGAGCCGUAGCGAAAGCGAGUUUUAACUGAGCGUUCAGUUACUUGACGUAGACCCGAAACCGGGCGACCUACCCAUGAGCAGGAUGAAGCGAAAGUAAAAUUUCGUGGAGGUCCGAACCCACGAGCGUUGAAAAGCUCGGGGAUGACUUGUGGGUAGCGGUGAAAUUCCAAUCGAGCCCGGAGAUAGCUGGUUCUCCCCGAAAUAGCUUUAGGGCUAGCCUCAAGGUGAGAGAUACGGAGGUAGAGCACUGAAUGUCCUAGGGGGUAUUGCACCUACCGAAGACUAUCAAACUCCGAAUGCCGUCAUCUUAUACUUGGGAGUCAGACUGUGGGUGAUAAGAUUCAUAGUCGAAAGGGCAACAGCCCAGAUCGUCAGCUAAGGUCCCUAAAUGUAAGUUAAGUGGUAAAGGAUGUGGGAUUGCACAGACAACCAGGAUGUUGGCUUAGAAGCAGCCACUCAUUCAAAGAGUGCGUAAUAGCUCACUGGUCGAGUGAUCCUGCGCCGAAGAUUUCCGGGGCUAAAACUUACUACCGAAGCUACGGCAUCAGUAAUGAUGGGUAGGGGAGCUUCCCAUACGGGUUGAAGCAUGACCGUAAGGACAUGUGGACAGUAUGGGAGUGAGAAUGUUGGCAUGAGUAGCGAGAUGUGGGUGAGAAUCCCACAGGCCGUAAACCCAAGGUUUCCAGGGGAAGGUUCGUCCGCCCUGGGUUAGUCGGGACCUAAGCUGAGGCUGAAAGGCGUAGGUGAUGGACAACAGGUUGAUAUUCCUGUACUACCGAUAACCGUUUGAGAGAAGGGAUGACACAGUAGGAUAAGCUAAGCACACUGUUGGUUAUGUGUGCCCAAGCAUUGAGGCAGUCAAAGUAGGCAAAUCCGCUUUGAUAAUGCUGGGAUGUGAUGGGGAGCGAAAUUUAGUAGCGAAGUAGCUGAUUUCACACUGUCAAGAAAAGUCUCUAUCGAGGUUAAAGGUACCCGUACCGCAAACCGACACAGGUGGGUGAGGAGAGUAUCCUAAGGCCAGCGAGAGAACUGUUGUUAAGGAACUCGGCAAAAUGACCCCGUAACUUAGGGAUAAGGGGUGCCACCAUCAGGUGGCCGCAGAGAAUAGGCCCAAGCGACUGUUUACCAAAAACAUAGGUUUCUGCUAAGUCGCAAGACGAUGUAUAGGAGCUGACGCCUGCCCGGUGCUGGAAGGUUAAGGGGAUCUGUUAGAGCAAUCGAAGCAGUGAACUUAAGCCCCAGUAAACGGCGGCCGUAACUAUAACGGUCCUAAGGUAGCGAAAUUCCUUGUCGGGUAAGUUCCGACCCGCACGAAAGGCGUAACGAUUUGGGCACUGUCUCAACAACAGACUCGGUGAAAUUGUAAUUCCGGUGAAGAUGCCGGAUACCUGCGACAGGACGGAAAGACCCCAUGGAGCUUUACUGUAGCUUGACAUUGGGUCUUGGUACUACAUGUACAGGAUAGGUGGGAGGCUUUGAAACCAGGACGCCAGUUUUGGCGGAGCCAUCCUUGGGAUACCACCCUUGUAGUACUGGGACUCUAACCAUAGGCCAUGAAUCUGGUCUUGGGACACUGUCAGGUGGGCAGUUUGACUGGGGCGGUCGCCUCCCAAAAGGUAACGGAGGCGCUCAAAGGUUCUCUCAGUACGGUCGGAAAUCGUACGUAGAGUGUAAAGGCAAAAGAGAGCUUGAUUGCAAGACAUACAGGUCGAGCAAGGAUGAAAAUCGGACUUAGUGAUCCGGUGGUUCUGCGUGGAAGGGCCAUCGCUCAACGGAUAAAAGCUACCCUGGGGAUAACAGGCUUAUCUCCCCCAAGAGUCCACAUCGACGGGGAGGUUUGGCACCUCGAUGUCGGCUCAUCACAUCCUGGGGCUGUAGUAGGUCCCAAGGGUUGGGCUGUUCGCCCAUUAAAGUGGUACGCGAGCUGGGUUCAGAACGUCGUGAGACAGUUCGGUCCCUAUCCGUCGCAGGCGUAGGAAAUUUGAGAAGACCUGUCCUUAGUACGAGAGGACCGGGAUGGACGUACCUCUGGUGUACCAGUUGUUCUGCCAAGGGCAUGGCUGGGUAGCUAUGUACGGAAUGGAUAAGCGCUGAAAGCAUCUAAGCGCGAAGCCAACUUCAAGAUAAGAUUUCCCACCGCAAGGGUAAGACCCCAGAAAGACUAUCUGGUUGAUAGGUCGAAGGUGUAAGUGCAGCAAUGUAUUUAGCUUAUCGAUACUAAUAGGUCGAGGACUUGACCAA
rnacentral:rRNA from 1 species